CCGAUGGGCCGAAGCAGCUUCCCAAGCUGAAUACGCGGGUUCGAUUCCCGUCAUCGGCUCCA
rnacentral:tRNA from 1 species